rnacentral:rRNA from 1 species
AGUGAACGCUGGCGGUAGGCCUAACACAUGCAAGUCGAACGGCAGCACAGUAAGAGCUUGCUCUUACGGGUGGCGAGUGGCGGACGGGUGAGGAAUACAUCGGAAUCUACUUUUUCGUGGGGGAUCACGUAGGGAAACUUACGCUAAUACCGCAUACGACCUACGGGUGAAAGCAGGGGAUCUUCGGACCUUGCGCGGUUGAAUGAGCCGCUGUCGGAUUAGCUAGUUGGCGGGGUAAUGGCCCACCAAGGCGACGAUCCGUAGCUGGUCUGAGAGGAUGGUCGGCGACACUGGAACUGAGACACGGUCCAGGCUCCUACGGGAGGCAGCAGUGGGGAAUGUUGGACAAUGGGCGCAAGCCUGAUCCAGCCAUACCGCGUGGGUGAAGAAGGCCUUCGGGUUGUAAAGCCCUUUUGUUGGGAAAGAAAAGCAGCAGGUUAAUACCCCGCGGGUCUGAUGGUACCCAAAGAAUAAGCACCGGCUAACUUCGUG